CCUGCUUGGGCAGGGASGACGUGCCAUUCCCGCCUUUUCAGUUGGUGGUCCAGGUGCGUUCCAGCCUUGGCCGUUGUUGGUUUCCUGCGCUGCAUACCCGUUGCGAGGGCAUUCGGUCAGCCAAAAAAGUCCUAUUUUCGCCUUGCAUCGUGCCUCUCGGGCCGCGGGGCSGGGGGGACCUYRAASCACCCUCGUUUUCCCUCCCGUACGUUAGGGUUGUUGGCGGCCCAUGGUGUCGAGCUUGAUCUGUCGGAUGCAGUAAGUCUAGUUGGCACGAGGCCCCUGGUCUCUAUUUGUCCCGAAAAUAAGCKUUCUACGCUUCGUGCGAAUGACGGUCGUCGCCGUGUCAAUCGAGCCUCGUGGCUCGGUUCAUGCGGUGCCGGCGUCUGUGAAGAAUGCU
rnacentral:misc_RNA from 1 species